AUCUCUAUUGAAGCAAGAAGACCCCCUGAAUUUAAGCAUAUAAUUAAGGGGAGGAAAAGAAACCAACUCGGAUUCCCCUAGUAACGGCGAGUGAAGCGGGAAGAGCUCAUGUUGUAAAUCUCCAGCUUGCUGGCGAAUUGUAGUCUAAAGGUGCGUGCUCAGUCGUGGUCCCGGGCUAAGUCUGUUGGAAAACAGCAUCAUGGACGGUGACAAUCCGGUUCUUGCCUGGGGUCCCGCGGCGUACGAGCCGUUUCCGACGAGUCGUGUUGCUUGGGAUUGCAGCACUAAGUGGGUGGUAAAUUCCAUCUAAAGCUAAAUAUUGGUGGGAGACCGAUAGCGAACAAGUACCGUGAGGGAAAGAUGAAAAGACUUUUGAAAAGAGAGUAAAAUAGUACCUGAAACUGCUGAAAGGGAAGCGAUUGAAGUCAGUGUUGCUCCUGGUCUUUUUGCCGUCGCCCCCGUGGGGGUUGCGGCGUGGGGCCUGGAGCGUUUCAACAUGCGUUCUGUUCCGCGGGAAAUGUUCAGUGUGCUGGAACCUUCGGGGAAACGCACUGUUCUUGUCGUGGUUAGGACGGAGGACCUUUGCUCCUUUGACUGCGCGUUCCUCUCUCGGGUAUGCUGGUGUCUACUGCUUGCAGUUUUCAUUUUCAUGCUUGCGACUGUGCGUGUUAUUCAUGAGCGAACAUGAUGUUGAAGAAAUGGCUUUAAUUACCCCGUCUUGAAACACGGACCAAGGAGUCUAACAUGUGUGCGAGUUUUUGGGUGGCAAACCCAUGAGCGUAAUGAAAGUGAAUGCAGGUGGGAUCCGCAAGGAGCACCAUCGACCGGCCCUGAUGUUCUCGGAUGGGUCUGCGUAAGAGCAUAUAUGUUGGGACCCGAAAGAUGGUGAACUAUGCCUGAAUAGGGUGAAGCCAGAGGAAACUCUGGUGGAGGCUCGCAGCGGUUCUGACGUGCAAAUCGAUCGUCAAAUUUGGGUACAGGGG
rnacentral:rRNA from 1 species